rnacentral:rRNA from 1 species
UCCGUAGGGGGACCUGCGGAGGGAUCAUUACUGAGUUUACGCUCUACAACCCUUUGUGAACAUACCUAUAACUGUUGCUUCGGCGGGUAGGGUCUCCGCGACCCUCCCGGCCUCCCGCCCCCGGGCGGGUCGGCGCCCGCCGGAGGAUAACCAAACUCUGAUUUAACGACGUUUCUUCUGAGUGGUACAAGCAAAUAAUCAAAACUUUUAACAACGGAUCUCUUGGUUCUGGCAUCGAUGAAGAACGCAGCGAAAUGCGAUAAGUAAUGUGAAUUGCAGAAUUCAGUGAAUCAUCGAAUCUUUGAACGCACAUUGCGCCCGCCAGCAUUCUGGCGGGCAUGCCUGUUCGAGCGUCAUUUCAACCCUCAAGCUCUGCUUGGUGUUGGGGCCCUACAGCCGAUGUAGGCCCUCAAAGGUAGUGGCGGACCCUCCCGGAGCCUCCUUUGCGUAGUAACUUUACGUCUCGCACUGGGAUCCGGAGGGACUCUUGCCGUAAAACCCCCCAAUUUUCCAAAGGUUGACCUCGGAUCAGGUAGGAAUACCCGCUGAACUUAAGCAUAUCAAUAGCGGAGGA